rnacentral:rRNA from 1 species
GACGAACGCUGGCGGCGUGCUUAACACAUGCAAGUCGAACGGAAAGGCCCCUUUGGGGGUACUCGAGUGGCGAACGGGUGAGUAACACGUGAGUAACCUGCCCUUGACUUCGGGAUAACUUCAGGAAACUGGGGCUAAUACCGUAUAGGAAUCCUUGCUGCAUGGUGGGGGUUGGAAAGCUUCGGCGGUUUUGGAUGGACUCGCGGCUUAUCAGCUUGCUGGUGGGGUAGUGGCUUACCAAGGCUUUGACGGGUAGCCGGCCUGAGAGGGCGACCGGCCACAUUGGGACUGAGAUACGGCCCAGACUCCUACGGGAGGCAGCAGUGGGGAAUAUUGCACAAUGGGCGGAAGCCUGAUGCAGCAACGCCGCGUGCGGGAUGACGGCCUUCGGGUUGUAAACCGCUUUCAGCAGGGGCGAAGCUUGUGGUGACGGUACCUGCAGAAGAAGCACCGGCUAACUACGUG